rnacentral:rRNA from 1 species
GACGUAGGGGGCCAGCGUUGUUCGGAAUUACUGGGUGUAAAGGGUUCGUAGGCGGCCAACUAAGUCAGACGUGAAAUCCCUCGGCUUAACCGGGGACUGCGUCUGAUACUUGAUGGCUUGAGGUUGGGAGAGGGAUGCGGAAUUCCAGGUGUAGCGGAUGAAAUUCGUAGAUAUCGGGAGGAACACCAGUGGCGAAGGCGACUUCCUGGCCUGUUCUUGACGCUGAGGCGCGAA